UGACAUGAGAGAAAAAGCAUUUUACCCAUCUCAUUACUGACAGAUAUAAGACUGAGCAAGACAGAUGAAAAAACCUCUAAAGGAUUUCGAUGUGGAAAAAAGGAUGUAGAAAGCAGAAAGAGGCUGAUUGGGUCACUAGUCAGAAUGCUCUGCUAAUGGCCACAGGCCAUCACCGACCGGCUUCCUCUUUAAGGAUAAUGAGAGCCUCAGACGAAUGGUGGUUCCCUGAAGAAUGAAAACAUGAAAGAGGACUUCCCCAAAGCCAUUGGGUGGAGCACAAAGGAUGUGGAAAGACUGGAGGGCUGGAGAGUAAAGACGAUGAGAGAUAAAGGCAAGGAAUUCAAGCACCAUGAACACCAACAACUGAAUAAGUUGCCUUGGCCUUCGUUGACCAUCAGCUGGUGAGGCUGUUGGAGUCCACUGUUUUGCUUCUGUGACUCUGAAUAAGGCCAAUAUCAUGAACUCUAUAGUGAAUCUCAGUUUCAAAGUAUUUAAUGACACUUUAAAUUAUUCAUGAAUCAAUUUAAUUAAGAGGUUAGAAAGAAUUUCUACUCUUUAGGUAGUGACAACAAGGUUUCAAUUUCAGCAUCAGUAUAGGUGCCUCAGCAGAUUUUAUUAGGCUUUUUUCAUACAGAAUACCUAAAUCAGUAUACAAGAGCCAAUCAAGAUGUAUUAGAAACACCAUUCAUGUAAAUUUAAGUGGAAGAAUUACUUUCUGUUCUUAAAUGUCCGAGAUGUAAGCUUCUUUACUGUAAAUACAGGCUUGGUUUUACAGGUGGAUAUGUGAUUACAAGUAUUUUCUAUAUACUGAAUAAAAUACCUUAGUAAUGCUGGUAAGUCACUUCAGGAAUCUUGACUUUUAUGUUUGAACACCACCAUCUAUGCCAAUAAUGUCUGACUUUUGUAUUAGUUAUUUUUAUUUCUUUUCCCCUUUUCUAAUACCAGUUGUUUGGAUGGUUUAAUAAAUCCAACUGGAUAUUAUUGAUUUCUUACCUAUAUUUUCUUUCCUUUCUUCCUCCAUGCAUUCUGAUUAGCAUAUUCUCAUUGCAUAUCCCAUAAAGGAAAAUUAGGAAAAAUGUGUCACCCUGUAAGCCAUUUUCUCAUACUAUCACGAGAAAGAAACAUGUUACAGGACUCUUCUACAACUGACUUCAUCUUUGUAAUUUUAUUUAGAAUUCUAAAAAGUGAGCAGAAAGUCAUAAACCAAGAUCAAAGUCUAAUUUGCAUUUA